ACGAACGCUGGCGGCGUGCUUCACACAUGCAAGUCGAACGGAAAGGCCCUGCUUUUGUGGGGUGCUCGAGUGGCGAACGGGUGAGUAACACGUGAGUAACCUGCCCUUGACUUUGGGAUAACUUCAGGAAACUGGGGCUAAUACCGGAUAGGAGCUCCUGCUGCCUGGUGGGGGUUGGAAAGUUUCGGCGGUUGGGGAUGGACUCGCGGCUUAUCAGCUUGUUGGUGGGGUAGUGGCUUACCAAGGCUUUGACGGGUAGCCGGCCUGAGAGGGUGACCGGCCACAUUGGGACUGAGAUACGGCCCAGACUCCUACGGGAGGCAGCAGUGGGGAAUAUUGCACAAUGGGCGGAAGCCUGAUGCAGCAACGCCGCGUGCGGGAUGACGGCCUUCGGGUUGUAAACCGCUUCCGCCUGUGGCGAAGCGUGAGUGACGGUAAUGGGUAAAGAAGCACCGGCUAACUACGUG
rnacentral:rRNA from 1 species